GUGUUGAGUAGUUGAGUAGUGUUGAAAACAUCGGAUAUUUUGUACCAUGAUAACAUAUUUCCGUCCUUUCACUAUUUUAUAUUAAAUCAACAUUUUCAAUUUUACUGUCUUCAGAAAGAAUGGUUUUGUUUUCAUAAGACGGCAAAAAAAGUCUUCAUUUUACAUGACAAAGUGAACUGAAGCAGUCAAGUACCAACAUUUGCUUUUCUGUAACUGAAAGUCAACAGAAAAUUUUAAAAUUUGUUUUAACUUCACUUCCACUCAUCACAAAGUCUAAACCAAGAGGUGUUGUGCAACUGAAGCUACUUCUUGCUGCUGAUUUUUUCAACAGCUUUAUUUCUACAAAAUGAAACAGAUUUCAAGUAACAACUGAAUUCAUCCAAGAACAUAUAAAUGAGUCACUUUGAAUUCUGAAAUACCUGGCCAUCUUGUGGCUCUCCCUGUUCCAUAAUUUCAUGCAGAGACUAAAUUGCAUGUAGUACCAACUAUAUGACAGUGAUUCCUAAGAGGCUCAGUAGUAUGUAAGUCAAAAUUACUUUUCAGAGAAGAGUGCCAGGGCAAAAUUCCUGUUCGAUUUUAACUGGAAUGUAAUUAAAUCCAAACUACAAAUAUGUGUCUGCUUAAUACUAUUUCUGUUUUACACACCAAAGUUAAGAGCUUAGGUUUCUAAAUACAUCACACGUUUUCAGAAACACACCACUGUAAAGAAGAAAGUCCCCUAAUCUUCAAGGUGACAGAUUUUUUUGAAAAAUUCACAACUGCUUGCUCUACAUGUCACACUGAUCAUCAGCAUGUCUAUGGAAUUAAAUUGUUGAGAUUGUAACAGUGGUUGGCUAAGGAUAUACAGUACCAACUUUUGCAAGUUACUAGUUAUUUAUCCCUAGUCACAGAAUCCUUGCAGAGAAAGGCUAAUAUAUAUAUUAAAAAAAAAACAAAAAACCAACAACAACAACAACAAAAAAACACCGUCUACAAGGGUAUUAUCUACAUUGUAAUUUAUAAUAUCCCCUCCGGUCUUUCAAUUUCCACAGUCUCCAUCCUGGGAGAGAUAAGGGGCUGGCUGCAAUUUGUGUGCAUCUUUCAUUGGAAGGCUUAUUCCAGCUGCUGCUGAUAAACCUGCAGAAGAAUAAAUCUUAUCCCUUUAGCUGGAAUCAAACAACGUUGUCUUCAUUGAUUUAUUUUCCCUUUGUUUCCUGCAGCAGUCUCCUCUGAUUUACUUCCUUGCGUUUAGGAUAAUAUCACAAAAGCACGCUGAUGUACACAUUAACAAAAACGUAUUUACCUGCUUUAGUCGUCACUCCAGGUUCUAUUUAAAAGUCCACAGAAACUUCUACAAUAUGCACCAGGUGCCAUCUAACCCUGUUUUCACCAUUUCUUCGUGUGUCCACUCUGUUACGCAAAACAAACAAAUGGACACAACAGAAGAAAAAUGAUAGCAGAGAAGAUCAAAAAGAGCGCUGAUAAGAGUUUUCUUUGGUGAGAACUGUUCAUAUUGGAACAUGGCAUUUUGUCAAAUGUCAAGAUUUUCAUGUAAAUUUGUCAUUUUAAACAAACCUUCAUUGCAAAAUCUGUGUGGCUCCAGGACAAAAGAUGAGGAGAGGAAGAAAAAUACCAGCCACACAAAUUUACUAACAGGAAAAUGCUAAAGAAAUACCCUGAAGUUGCUGAAAAAUUCUAUGCAAAUCCCCUACUGUUUUAGAUCGAUGAAGAGUAGUUAAUCCUUAUCAGUUCCUCCUACUGAAGCUAUUCUUCAUUAUUAAUUACUCCCUCAAAAAGAAACUGAAAUUGUAACCUGUGUGUGAAGGCACUCACUGGGGUGAGAUCAGGCAAAUAUUUUACUCACAGUGUCACUGUGGGGUUAUAUCUGUGUUGUUUUUUUGUUUUGUUUCCCCUUUUUCUGAUGUGCUUUCCCCUGCUGAAGAAUUUGG
rnacentral:lncRNA from 1 species